ACUCCUACGGGAGGCAGCAGUGGGGAAUAUUGCACAAUGGGUGGCAAACCUGAUGCAGCCAUGCCGCGUGUGUGAAGAAGGCCUUCGGGUUGUAAAGCACUUUCAGUAGGGAGGAAGGUAGUGUAGUUAACACCUGNACUAUUUGACGUUACCUACAGAAGAAGCACCGGCUAACUCCGGUGCCAGCAGCCGCGGUAAUACGGAGGGUGCGAGCGUUAAUCGGAAUUACUGGGCGUAAAGCGCAUGCAGGCGGCCUGUUAAGUCAGAUGUGAAAGCCCGGGGCUCAACCUCGGAACUGCAUUUGAAACUGGCAGACUAGAGUACU
rnacentral:rRNA from 1 species